rnacentral:tRNA from 1 species
ACCUGGCUGGCUCAGUCAGUAGAGUAUGUGAUUCUUGAUCUCAGAGUCAUGAGUUCAAGCUCCAUGUUGGGUC